AGGGCUGUAGCUCAGGAGCAGAGCACAUGUUUUGCAUGCAGAAGGUUGCAGGUUCAAACCCUGGCAUCUCUA